UACGAGAUUUGGCUUCCGUGUCUCUCUCAAUGGCGUGGAGGUGAAGGGUAACGUAAGGAGAACACAUUUUUUUUUCAGCUUCACUUCACUCGAGGAGACCAGCCUCUCCUCGUCUCGUCUCUACCGGCCUCGGCCCCUUCUGCUUCGUCGAGGAGGAGGGGUAGGGGGAAGAGAUCUAGCUGUCGGGUACCUUCUCCGCGACCGCCGCCGGUUCUCCUCUUCCAGCCUCGUGAUGGUGCCGCAGCGGCUGCCCGGCAGGAAGGCGUACCUCCUGGAAGGCCGCCUCCAAGUCGGCCAAUAUUAGAGUGACGACGGUGACUUUCUCCGGCACUCCUGUUCGUAACAAAGUUCUUCAACCUCUUACGAGACCUCUAAGGUGACGCUAGAUACAAAGUUACUUGCGCCACUACACCUAAGAUUGUGGCUACUGUUAAGGCGACUAGUCCAAUUACCGUGACCGUGGUUACUGGUUAGGUGAUUAGUCACACCAUGGUUUUAUUGUGCUCGUUUCAAGUAACUCUGACAUUUAAGUCAAUAAGUUGUCGUAUCACCCCAUCCUUAGUUAUUCAAGUCGUAGUUCACACCGGACGAGUAGCUCCUGAGACUUGUAGAACUGUCCACCUAACUCAAACGGCGAAGUAGUUUCCGUUUUUGUUAUCUAAAACUAAACUUCUAUAAACUAAUGGGUCAACUUCUUCAAGGGGUAAAAGGAGAACUCCGGAAUCUACGAGUUCCAUCGAGUGAACACGUCAGGAACAGAGAACGGUCACAAAGAUAUUUCGGUUCGAGUCCUUAUACGGCGAAAUGUUAUGAGUCUUCCGAACAAAACUUUAGACAAGUCUAUAAACCUCUAAAAGGUCCGAACGAACGUUUAACAAGUUCUGAACUCCUGAAUCUCUAGUAGUCCACAAGACCACACCUACUGAAGUAGCAUGGUUUGUCUGAGCUAUUUGAAGUUUUAAACGACUAACGACCUUGCCUACAGGUCUACCAACAAUAAGUACGUCGACUAGAACGAGUAAAACUCAUACUUCCUGCUGACUAGGGAUAUCACGAAGUACCAACGAGUUUUAAUCUCUUCCGUUGUUAACGCAAACUAGGUGAUUAGGAAUACGUGACCGGGUACGUAAGUUAUAUUAAUGUUCGUAAAGGGGUCACUUCUAUAAUUAACACGCUCGAUAAUAUAGUUGUAUACGUGUCAGGGACCUCGACGGUAAUUCUGGUGUCCCGUACAAAUACGUAGACUCCGUAUACUGAACAGUUUAACAGCAGAUAACAUCUCUUAAUUUACUUCUAUUACCUGAAGAAGUUGACCGGGUAACCAACCUGCGACGUGGGGCUGACCUCUGCAACGUGAACGUAUACGUGAUAGACUCAGGGCCACGAAAGAAGUCACGGCUCCACCGCCCCCGCCUUCCAGGGACAUACACAGCGGUACUAGUAGAAUUCUGCCAGAAGUACCCACCCAAAGUCACAAUGUUCAGAGUCUAACUCGACCGCACGAGAUAGAACCCUUUACGAAAACAUGAACUCGUCGACUGUUAGCUUGGUUCCGAGUGUCUUCGUUAUACCCCACUAUUCAGAAUGGUCACCUUAUAUCCGGAACUUUCUUAAAAUGGUUCCCAGACACUUACCCGUGUCGCUUGGAGCUUCGCGAAACCAUUCCACUAGUGGCAGAAUCUACGGGGGGAAGUGUCACUCAUU
rnacentral:rRNA from 1 species